rnacentral:lncRNA from 1 species
GUUAUAGUGAAUUCCCAAGAGAGACUUGGGGAGUGGACGUAGGAGCAAGGGGUAGCUCUGAACUACUAUAAAACUCUGUGUUUGCAUUGGAUUGUCUCUCUUCUUCUUCCCCUCACAUCACUCACAGCACUUAGCAUUAAUUAAAUAACUUGCAAUAGUUUUUAAUUAAUCAACCACAUCGUUUUAAUUAUCUAAAUUAUUUUAAAACCCAAUUC